UGUACGUGUGUAAUAACAGCUAGUGUAGUGUCGACCGUGGACGUAUAUGUGCAAUUUGGUUAGAAGAUUUGGACGUUAAAUUGCUUGCAGUGCAGUGCAGUUGCUUAGUUAAAGUGAGUUCUCAUCACGAGGUCGAGGUAUGGAGUCUGAACAGGAAAGAAAGCUUUUUCUAGGUGGGCUGAAUUACAACACAAAAGAUGAAGACAUCAAGAAAUAUUUUGGCACAUUUGGAAAAAUCGUGGACUGUUGUGUUAUCAAAGAUUCAAAUUCACAGAGGUCCAAAGGAUUUGGAUUUGUCACAUUCUCCAGCCGAAAGGAAGUCGAUGAUGUUAUGAAAGCUAGAAAAGAAAAUCCUCAUCGACUUGAUAACAGAGAUAUUGAUGUGAGAAGAGCCAUGUCAAGAGAUGAGAAGGGACCAAAGAAUCCCUCAUUCAAGUGUUUCUUGGGUGGCAUCCCAAGGGAUACCACAGAGGAGGACUUGAGAAAGUACUUUGGUCAAUUCGGUAACAUCGUUGAAUUUGCAUCACAUCUCAACAAAGGAUUUUGUUUUAUCACCUAUGAUGACACAGACUGUGUUGAUCAGAUUGUCAUGCAGAAGCACCAUAAGAUUAAUGGCAAGAAGGUUGAAGGAAAGAAGGCAUACUCUAAGGAAGAGAUGAAUGAAAUGAAGAUGAAAGAACAGCAGCAACAAGGUGGCUUUGGUGGACCUGGUGGCUACAGAGGCUUUGGAGGAGGGGGAGGAGGAGGGGGAUAUGGUGGAGGAGAUUACCAAGGUGGAUAUAGCGGUGGCCAGGGAGGAGGAGGUGGCUAUAACCAAGGAUAUGGUGGAGGACCAGGAGGUGGUUUCGGAGGAGGCGGUGGCUAUGGUGGCGGUGGCGGCUACAGUGGCGGUAGUGGUUAUGGUGGCGGCGGUGCUCCAUACAGUGGUGGAGGACAGGGUGGACCACAGGGCUAUGGAGGUGGAGGCGGAGGUUACCAAGGUGGUGGUUACGGUGGUGGACAAGGAGGUGGUGGCGGUUACAGUGGAGGUGGUGGAGGCUACCAGGGCGGUGGUGGUGGUGGCUUUGGAAAGAGAUUCUAAGUGUUGAUAACUGACCAACAAUGAUAGACCAACCAGUUGAGGUACAGCAGAUGGUUGCACUUGUUAAAGUUCUCCAAUGGCAGAUCCUUUCAGAUGCUUUUCCUGAAUGUCGAAGAUAGCUUCAUUGGUGUUGAAAGAUUGACCUAACUGGGCUAGAGGAUAACCCUGAUGUUUAACAUCAUGUCCAUGAGGUUCAUUUCAAGUGACAACCUGAAGGCAGGAUAAAGACAUUUACUAUUCCUGUGUUUAUCAAUGAUAAGGGAGAUAAACUGUUUUGUUCAGUUGUAUCUGAAACUAAUCAAGGUUCUAGAAUGGAGAGUGUGUUAAGCAAAUGUGAACAUAAAUGUCACGUUUCAGUUACACAAAAUAUCUCUAAUGCACCAGCUUAUAGCUCAUUACCACUCACCUAUUCCUUUCAGCUAAAAUCCACCCUGUAGUACAUGCCUCUGAUAUUCAGUUACAUCUAUACCUAGUUUAGAGUAACUGCUACUAGAUUCAUUAAGAAUAUCAUUCUUAACUGUAAAAGAGCCAGGUUAUUGGGGCCGCUCCCCCCCCCCCCCCCCCCCUGAGAACUCGGCCCUCAAUUGCGCGAGCACCUCAAAAACUUGCACAGGGGUAGUGUGCAAUAUAAUCUACAAGGGUGUAUGGUUAAUUAUAUUGAAAUAAGAUUUUUAAUUUAAUGACUUGAUUAUGCUAAUUUAUUCAGAUUUUCAGAUAGCAGAUAGAUUUUCUCAAAUCAACUAUCAUAUUGCCUCAAAACUGCUAUUUUUUUUUAUUCAGACUCUCUGUAGGAUCAUGAUCAAAUGUACUUGAAGGUCAAGUCCACCUCAGGAAAAUGUUGAUUUAGGAAAAUGUCCUUUAGGGUCAACAAACUUUGGUAAUGUUGGGGGUAUUUGUGGAACUGUCCUAACUUUAUGACAGUCAUAAGUUUAUGGAUCUAGUUCAUGAAACUUGGAUAUAAGAGCAGCAAUGUUAAAUAUAAUACCCUGUGCACGUUUCAGGGACUUGGCCAAGAUCGAAGAUCAUUCAAAGGUUGUUGAGAGUAUGUGUUGAAUUGGCAUCAUAACUUAGAAAGUUUAUGGAUCUAGCUCAUGAAACAUAGACGUAAGGGUAAUCAAGUAUGAAUGAUGCGCAUGUAUUAGGUCACAUGAUCAUGGUCAUUUUGGGUCAAUGGACAUCAUAUUUUAUCAUAUUAGUGUUUUUCUUCUGUGAAUAAUUACUCAUUAGCUGUUUUCAAAUUCUUAUCUCUUUUGAAUCAUGACAGAAUUCCAUGCUUAUUGUGCAGGUUACUGAGUAAUUUCUAAUUUUCUACACGGGUGGUGUUUCAUAAAGCUGUUCGUAAAGUUCCGCAAAACUUUACGAACGACUGGAACAUGUUCUUAUCCGUAAGUCAGCUACAUAGGGAUAUAUCACAUAGCACAAGAAAGGGUCACCAGUCAUGCGAAAAGUCAUUCGUAACUUACAAACAGCUUUAUGAAACGGGCCCAUGCAUCAACUUUGCACAUGAUAUUCAUUUAUACAAAUACUUUGUGCUAAUCUAUCAUAAUGACAAACCUGCUGAUACUCAUUACACUAAGAGAAGCUUUGAUGACUCAUCAUUACAGAACUUCUUUAUCAAGUUGUCUAACUCUCAAUUUGAUGUUAGUUCAAGUAACAAUGUUGAAACGAAGUACAAUCAUUUUUUAGGCAUAUUUUUACGUCAUUACAAUGACUGCUUCCCCAUGAGAAGCUAUUCCAUAAAGAAAAGGAAUAAAAAACCAUGGAUGACUAGGGAACUUAGAAAAUUAUGUAUUAAAAAGAAUAAUCUAUACAAGAAAUAUAUCAGAAAUCCAACAAAUUUAAAUGAAAUCAAAUAUAAAAAUAUAGAAAUUUUGUGACUUAUCAGCUGCGUAAAGUCAAAUCUAAUUAUUACACACAAGAAUUCAAACAGGUCAAAGAUAACAUCCAUUCUACAUGGAAAUUUAUAAAUAAUAUAAUGGGUAAGAAACUUAAUUCUAAACCUAUUGACUCAAUUAUUACUCCUGAUGGUCAAACAUAGUCUGACAAUUCACUUAUUGCGAAUGCAUUUAAUAAUCAUUUCGUAACUAUUGGUGAAAAAUUGAUAAAUCAACAUACUGCUAUUAACUCGUCAUCUGUACCUUCAUUUCAGGAUUACAUUCCACAACGUAACCUGAAAUCUAUGUUUUUUAAACCAAUAACAUGCAAAGAAAUUUAUGAAAUUGUGAAAGAUAUGCCAAACGACUCUAGUCCUGGUAUGGAUUCAAUAGUUGUUGAAAAAAACAAUCUCAUUGAUAUGCAUUCCAUUAUGCAAUAUUUUUAAUUUAAGCAUAUCAACAGGUACUGUUCCCAAAUAUUUGAAGAUUGAUAAGGUCACUCCUAAACACAAAAGUGGAAGUCGAGAAAAUAUGAACAAUUAUCGUCCAAUAUCUGUACUAAAUAUAUUUGCUAAAAUACUUGAGAGAUGUGUGUAUAACAGGAUUAUUAGUUUUAUUGAUGAAAAUGAUAUAAUAUUUAACAACCAGUAUGGAUUCAGGAAGGGGCACUCCACAUCUUCAGCUGUCUUGGAGCUUACACAUAAGAUACACAACUCUAUUAAUAACAAAGAACAUACUCUAGCAAUAUUUAAUGAUCUCUCUAAAGCCUUUGAUGUUAUUGACCACUCUAUUCUGUUAAAAAAAACUAGAUUACCAUGGAAUAAGGGGCUUGCCACUCAAAUGGAUCCCAGAUUAUUUAACCGAUCGAGAACAAAUUACUAUAUUUAACAAAUGUGAGUCAAGCUCCAGGACAGUGAGAUAUGGAGUGCCCCAGGUUCAGUCCUUGGCCCACUCCUUUUUCUGUUAUUUAUAAAUGAUUUACCCCAAUGUUCAAAUAUGCUAAAUUUUGUGUUAUUUGCUGAUGACACGUGUGUCUCUAUGUCUGGUAGUAAUAUUGAUAUUCUGUUCAGAGAUGUGAAUUUACAGCUUAAAAAGAUCAAUGAGUGGGUGUCAGUCAAUAAUCUAAUUGUGAAUACUUCAAAAACCAAUUAUAUGUUGUUAAGCACAUGCAGCCAUAAGAUAGACAACUUAAAAUUAUACUAUAAUAGCUUUGAAAUUACUCAACUUCACAAUGUAAAAUUUUUAGGUAUUUAUUUGGAUGACAAUUUAUCUUGGAACUUUCAUAUUGAACAGGUCUGUAAUAAGAUUGCUAAAAAGAUUGGGAUAAUAGCUAAACUUAAUUUUUUGCCAAGUUCAGUUCUAAAAAUGUUAUAUCAUGCUUUUAUCACAUCUACCAUUAACUAUGGAGUGAUUGCAUGGGGAAUUACAACUAAAAGAAAUAUACAGAAAAUUUUUACUUUACAAAAAUGAGCAAUCCGUCUAAUAACUCAUUCCAAUUACAUCUCUGAAAGUGCACCUCUUUUCCAACGAAACAAUAUCUUACCGAUUCAGAAUAUCAUAUCAUUACAGACCUGUUUAUUCAUGUACCAAUGCCAUAACCAUAUGUUACCUAAGUCUCCUCAAGAUUAUUUUAAAAUGAAUAAUUUAUAUCACUUAUAUCAAACUAGAAAUUGUAAAAGUUAUCACCCUCCUUUGCCAUGCAUAGCUUUAACUAGACGAUCUGUUUUUUAUUUUGGACCACUCUUUUGGAACUCAUUACCGAAUUCUGUUAAAUUAUCAAAAUCUUUAAAUCAAUUUAAACGUGCAUGUCUUCAAAACAAAACACUUUUAAACACGGCUUUCCAUUUAUUGUAAUGAUUUGUUUUCACCCCCCCCCUUUUCUUAGACUUGUAAUUAUGUUAUGAUUAUAUUGUUUGUUUACUUUACAUGUAUUAAUAUGAUUUAUUCUAUACUUUAGGGGCCAAUUUAUACAAGCAGUUAUGCUUUCUUUGACCCAUCCACGUGUAAUAUAUCUUUUAAUGUCAAUGAUUUGUAUAUACAUAUAUUUUUAAUUGUGGAAAUAAAUUUGAAUUGAA
rnacentral:misc_RNA from 1 species